rnacentral:rRNA from 1 species
GCACAAUGGGCGAAAGCCUGAUGCAGCAACGCCGCGUGAGUGAUGAAGGCCUUCGGGUCGUAAAGCUCUUUGAUCAGGGAUGAUAAUGACAGUACCUGAAAAACAAGCCACGGCUAACUACGUGCCAGCAGCCGCGGUAAUACGUAGGUGGCGAGCGUUGUCCGGAAUUACUGGGCGUAAAGGAUGCGUAGGUGGAUACUUAAGUGGGAUGUGAAAUCCCCGGGCUCAACCCGGGAACUGCAUUCCAAACUGGGUAUCUAGAGUGCAGGAGAGGAAAGCGGAAUUCCUAGUGUAGCGGUGAAAUGCGUAGAUAUUAGGAGGAACACCAGUGGCGAAGGCGGCUUUCUGGACUGUAACUGACACUGAGGCAUGAAAGCGUGGGAGCAANCAGGAUUAGAUACCCUGGUAGUCCACNCCGUAAACUAUGGGUACUAGGUGUAGGGGGUAUCGACUCCCCCUGUGCCGUCGUUAACACAAUAAGUACCCCGCCUGGGGAGUACGGUCGCAAGACUAAA